CAGUAGACAUGACACAUCUCCUGUGGUUACUUUUUAUUGCAUCUUUAGUACAAUAUGUCACAUCACAAAUCACAAUGGUGGAGUCUGGUCCUGGGACUGUGAAACCAACAGAGACUCUGGAGCUGACCUGUAAAGUGUCUGGAGCCUCCCUCACUGACAGCACUAACAUGCACUGUGUGCACUGGACCCGACAAUCUGAAAGGAAACAGAUGGAGUGGUUGGGGGCAAUAUGUCAUAAUGCAUACACAGCUUAUGCCACUUCUGUUCAGGGACGACUGACUCUGUCCAGAGACACAAAUAAAGGGGAAGUAUUUUUUAAACUCACUGGAAUGAAAACUGAAGAAUCCGGCACAUAUUAUUGUGCUAGAGAAGCACAGUGUGACAUCCCACUAAGAAUAAGUGCAAAAACUGAUUUACAGCUGAAAAAGACAUGA